GAUCUAGUGACUGGGUUGUGAGAGUCACACUGUAGAGAGGAAUGCUCCAUUGAUAACAACUGGGGGGAAUAUCCCAGAGCCAGAGAAACGGAACUGUGUUUCGUUGGAGGGAAGGCAUGGAGGGAAGGAGUGGGUGGAGAUCUGGACCAUGAUUAGCCCAUCUCUGUGUGGUGGAGAUCCCAGAACUGCAGCCCGACGACUGGAUACGGUCAGGCUCAUCUACUGCUCUCCUUCUGGAGCUCAGGACUUGUCCGUUAAAGCCCCCCCGUCCUCCCCGUGUCAUCGAUGGCCUUCCAGCAUACAUGGUAAGAUGCCUCCUGUGUGUUUGACCACGGGGCAGGGGUUUCCAGUACCUGGUUGACUGGGAGUGUUAUGGCCCAGAGGAGAGGUGCUGGGUUCCUGCUAAAGACAUCCUGGACCCGGCCCUCAUCGCCGACUUUCACCGGCGGCACCCCGGUCAACCUUGGUCAACCAGGUUUGCCCCCUGGAGGGGGUCACACCCUAAUCUGUUUCCCCUGUCUUUGUGCUUGUCUCCACCCUCAUUCAAGUGUCACCCAUUAUCCCCAGUGUAUUUAUACCUGUGCUCUCUGUUUGUCUGUUGCCAGUUCGUCUUGUCAAGUCAACCAGCGUGUUUUUUCUGUGCUCCUGCUUUUUUCUAGUCUCUGUUUUUCUAGUCUUCCCCGUUCUGACCUUUUGCCUGCCCUGACACUGAGCCCGCCUGCCUGACCAUUCAGCCUGCCCUGACCUCAAGCCCGCCUGCCGCCCUGUACCUUUUGGACUCUGACCUGGUUAAUGAACUUCUGCCUGUCCUCGACCUGCCUCUUGUCUGACCCUUACUUUUUAAUAAAUAUCAAAGACUCAAA
ensembl:lncRNA